CCGGUUUAAGCGUGUAGGCUGACUUUCCAGGCAAAUCCGGAGAGUCAAGGCUGAGGCGUGACGACGAGGCACCACGGUGCUGAAGCAACAAAUGCCCUGCUUCCAGGAAAAGCCUCUAAGCAUCAGGUAACAUCAAAUCGUACCCCAAACCGACACAGGUGGUCAGGUAGAGAAUACCAAGGCGCUUGAGAGAACUCGGGUGAAGGAACUAGGCAAAAUGGUGCCGUAACUUCGGGAGAAGGCACGCUGACACGUAGGUGAAGUGGUUUACCCAUGGAGCUGAAGUCAGUCGAAGAUACCAGCUGGCUGCAACUGUUUAUUAAAAACACAGCACUGUGCAAACACGAAAGUGGACGUAUACGGUGUGACGCCUGCCCGGUGCCGGAAGGUUAAUUGAUGGGGUCAGCGCAAGCGAAGCUCCUGAUCGAAGCCCCGGUAAACGGCGGCCGUAACUAUAACGGUCCUAAGGUAGCGAAAUUCCUUGUCGGGUAAGUUCCGACCUGCACGAAUGGCGUAAUGAUGGCCAGGCUGUCUCCACCCGAGACUCAGUGAAAUUGAACUCGCUGUGAAGAUGCAGUGUACCCGCGGCAAGACGGAAAGACCCCGUGAACCUUUACUAUAGCUUGACACUGAACAUUGAGCCUUGAUGUGUAGGAUAGGUGGGAGGCUUUGAAGCGUGGACGCCAGUCUGCGUGGAGCCGACCUUGAAAUACCACCCUUUAAUGUUUGAUGUUCUAACGUGGACCCGUGAUCCGGGUUGCGGACAGUGUCUGGUGGGUAGUUUGACUGGGGCGGUCUCCUCCUAAAGAGUAACGGAGGAGCACGAAGGUUGGCUAAUCCUGGUCGGACAUCAGGAGGUUAGUGCAAUGGCAUAAGCCAGCUUGACUGCGAGCGUGACGGCGCGAGCAGGUGCGAAAGCAGGUCAUAGUGAUCCGGUGGUUCUGAAUGGAAGGGCCAUCGCUCAACGGAUAAAAGGUACUCCGGGGAUAACAGGCUGAUACCGCCCAAGAGUUCAUAUCGACGGCGGUGUUUGGCACCUCGAUGUCGGCUCAUCACAUCCUGGGGCUGAAGUAGGUCCCAAGGGUAUGGCUGUUCGCCAUUUAAAGUGGUACGCGAGCUGGGUUUAGAACGUCGUGAGACAGUUCGGUCCCUAUCUGCCGUGGGCGCUGGAGAACUGAGGGGGGCUGCUCCUAGUACGAGAGGACCGGAGUGGACGCAUCACUGGUGUUCGGGUUGUCAUGCCAAUGGCACUGCCCGGUAGCUAAAUGCGGAAGAGAUAAGUGCUGAAAGCAUCUAAGCACGAAACUUGCCCCGAGAUGAGUUCUCCCUGAGACUUAGAGUCUCCUGAAGGAACGUUGAAGACGACGACGUUGAUAGGCCGGGUGUGUAAGCGCAGCGAUGCGUUGAGCUAACCGGUACUAAUGAACCGUGAGGCUUAACC
rnacentral:rRNA from 1 species